rnacentral:rRNA from 1 species
UACGGAGGGGGCUAGCGUUGUUCGGAAUUACUGGGCGUAAAGGGCUCGUAGGCGGCCAACUAAGUCGGACGUGAAAUCCCUCGGCUUAACCGGGGAACUGCGUCCGAUACUGGAUGGCUAGAGUUCGGGAGAGGGAUGCGGAAUUCCAGGUGUAGCGGUGAAAUGCGUAGAUAUCUGGAGGAACACCGGUGGCGAAGGCAGCUCUCUGGGACGGUACUGACACUGAGACGCGAAAGCGUGGGGAGCGAACAGG